CCUGUGUGAUGAGAUGUGAAUAAACUGACUUCAAUCAUGGAGGUCUGCAAUUAGCUCUAUCUGAC
ensembl:snoRNA